rnacentral:lncRNA from 1 species
UUGUCUCGGUUUCCAAGGGCGCGGGGUGCUCUUUGACCCGCGCCCGGGGCGGAGGUGGUGGCAUGGAGCCCAGCGCACCCUGGCAGGUCCCGGAGGGAGAGGGGCGCCCGGGACGCGCGCCAGCUGUUCCCAGAGCAAGCCGGGGCCAAUGAGGGGCGCUCCGGGGCCCGCUGCCCGUGACCACCUCGUUGUGGACCCCGCUUAGCUUCCUCGAGAAGUCCGGAAGGCGAGGGGGCAGUGCUACGCAGGAUUCCCCACAGAACCGAUGCGCUCUCGAUGCCCCUUUCUCCUCCCAUUUUCUGUGUUUCAUCCUCUAUUCAACAACUUUUAAAAAUGGUAUCUACAAGUACUACUUCUAGAUUUUUCCCGUCUCUUAACUGUCCACUGUCA